GUCUACAGCCAUACCACGUUGAAAGCACCAGUUCUCGUCCGAUCACUGAAGUUAAGCAACGUCAGGCUCGGUUAGUACUUGGAUGGGUGACCGCCUGGGAACACCGAGUGCUGUAGACU
rnacentral:rRNA from 1 species